CGCAGGCGGUUAUAUAAGACAGAUGUGAAAUCCCCGGGCUCAACCUGGGAACUGCAUUUGUGACUGCAUAGCUAGAGUACGGUAGAGGGGGAUGGAAUUCCGCGUGUAGCAGUGAAAUGCGUAGAUAUGCGGAGGAACACCGAUGGCGAAGGCAAUCCCCUGGACCUGUACUGACGCUCAUGCACGAAAGCGUGGGGAGCAAACAGGAUUAGAUACCCUGGUAGUCCACGCCCUAAACGAUGUCAACUGGUUGUUGGGAGGGUUUCUUCUCAGUAACGAAGCUAACGCGUGAAGUUGACCGCCUGGGGAGUACGGCCGCAAGGCUAAAACUCAAAGGAAUUGACGGGGACCCGCACAAGCGGCGGAGCAUGCGGAUUAAUUCGA
rnacentral:rRNA from 15 species